rfam:Mesocestoides corti genome assembly, scaffold: MCOS_contig0000013
UUUAGAUACGGAGACAUGGUACCGAAAACUAUUCUUGGUCAGCUGAUUGGUGGCACGUGUGCGCUUUCAGGAGUUCUUGUAAUUGCACUUCCAGUCCCAUUUAUCGUGUCCAAC